UACAGAGGGUGCGAGCGUUAAUCGGAAUUACUGGGCGUAAAGCGUGCGUAGACGGUUAUUUAAGUCGGGUGUGAAAUCCCCCGGGCUCAACCUGGGAAUUGCGUUGGAGACUGCAAGGCUGGAGUCUGGCAGAGGGGGGGUAGAAUUCCACGUGUAGCAGUGAAAUGCGUAGAGAUGUGGAGGAACACCGAUGGCGAAGGCAGCCCCCCUGGGUCGAAGACUGACGCUCAUGCACGAAAGCGUGGGGAGCAAACAGGAUUAGAAACCCGGAG
rnacentral:rRNA from 1 species